rnacentral:rRNA from 1 species
AGAGUUUGAUCAUGGCUCAGAACGAACGCUGGCGGCAUGCCUAACACAUGCAAGUCGAACGAAGGCUUCGGCCUUAGUGGCGCACGGGUGAGUAACACGUGGGAACCUGCCUCUUUGUUCGGAAUAACUGCGGGAAACUGCAGCUAAUACCGGAUACGCCCUACGGGGGAAAGAUUUAUCGCAGAGAGAGGGGCCCGCGUCCGAUUAGGUAGUUGGUGGGGUAAAGGCCUACCAAGCCGACGAUCGGUAGCUGGUCUGAGAGGAUGAUCAGCCACACUGGGACUGAGACACGGCCCAGACUCCUACGGGAGGCAGCAGUGGGGAAUAUUGGACAAUGGGCGGAAGCCUGAUCCAGCAAUGCCGCGUGAAUGAUGAAGGCCUUAGGGUUGUAAAGUUCUUUCGUCGGGGACGAUGAUGACGGUACCCGAAGAAGAAGCCCCGGCUAACUUCGUGCCAGCAGCCGCGGUAAUACGAAGGGGGCUAGCGUUGUUCGGAAUUACUGGGCGUAAAGGGCGCGUAGGCGGCCAAUCAAGUUAGGCGUGAAAGCCCCGGGCUCAACCUGGGAAUUGCGCUUGAUACUGUAUGGCUUGAGUUCGGGGAGAGGUGAGUGGAAUUCCCAGUGUAGAGGUGAAAUUCGUAGAUAUUGGGAAGAACACCAGUGGCGAAGGCGGCUCACUGGACCGACACUGACGCUGAGGCGCGAAAGCGUGGGGAGCAAACAGGAUUAGAUACCCUAGUAGUCC